ACAGAGGGUGCAAACGUUGUUCGGAAUUACUGGGCGUAAAGCGCGUGUAGGCGGUUUCGUAAGUCGGGUGUGAAAUCCCUCGGCUCAACCGGGGAAGUGCAUUCGAAACUACGAGACUAGAGUUCCGGAGAGGAUGGUGGAAUUCUCGGUGUAGAGGUGAAAUUCGUAGAUAUCGAGAGGAACACCGGUGGCGAAGGCGGCCAUCUGGAAGGAAACUGACGCUGAGACGCGAAAGCAUGGGGAGCAAACAG
rnacentral:rRNA from 1 species